rnacentral:rRNA from 1 species
AAUAGAUACCCCGGUAGUCCUAGCCGUAAACGUUGGGUGCUAGGUGUGGGCGGAUAUCGACCCCGUCCGUGCCGAAGCUAACGCAUUAAGCACCCCGCCUGGGGAGUACGGCCGCAAGGCUAAAACUCAAAGGAAUUGACGGGGCCCCGCACAAGCGGCGGAGCAUGCUGCUUAAUUCGAUGCAACGCGAAGAACCUUACCUGGGUUUGACAUGCAGGGUGAAACCCGUGAAAGCGGGCGCUCUUCGGAGCCUGCACAGGUGGUGCAUGGCUGUCGUCAGCUCGUGCCGUGAGGUGUUGCCUUAAGUGGCGCAACGAGCGCAACCCCUGUCCUUAGUUGCCAGCGGGUCAUGCCGGGAACUCUAGGGAGACUGCCGGUGCCAAACCGGAGGAAGGUGGGGAUGACGUCAAGUCAGCAUGCCCCUUAUACCCAGGGCUGCAAGCAUGCUACAAUGCGCGAUACAAUGGGCUGCGAUCCCGUAAGGGGGANCGAAUCCCAAAAAGUCGCGCUCAGUUCGGAUCGAGGUCUGCAACCCCG